CGUCUUUGUGGGAGGUGAGCUCGGAAGCCAACCGGAAAGGAUGAGGAACACACGCCUGGAACCGGGAACAGGAGGAAAACGAAUGAAGGGUGUGUCGAUGGCUGGGCGUGCUCUGGGGUAUGUACUCUCCCCACACUGCGCCUGGGCUGAGUGGCCUUCCGCUCAUUCCCUGAAAGCCCCAAAGCGGAGCAGCAGAGGGCGGGCGUUCCCCUCCACCCACAGGAAACCUCCUUCACACUCAAAGCCCACUGGCACCUGCCUCGCAGAGACCCCAAAGGAUAGACUCACCUUUUAAACUCGGUAUUACACACGUGACCUUGUUUCCUUAUUUUUUAAAUUUUGCUUUAAAAUUUUUUAAAUAGGAAGACUGCGUAAGAACGUUUUCAUCUGCAUUUUCAAAAAACCAUAGUCUCUCAGGUUUAAUGUUCCCAAAUUAAACUUCCGGAACUGCCCACCCCCUUCCCUUCUCCACUUAGCAGGUCCUAGUACCUUCAGGUCAUUUCUCCUGGAGGGCUUUCUCUGACCUCCUGAAUUCAGAUUUGUUAAACCCCUUGUCCUGAGCAACCCAGAAGAGUCCGAGUACAUGGGUGAAACUCAUCCAACUCGCUCUUAAUUGUCCUUGGUCAGAUCUCAGCCCCUGAGAAGUCCUGAUCUGAAGCUCUUGGUCACGGCUAAUUGCUCAGAACAUAGGACCCGGGCCACGCAGCUGCUCAGAAAGUAUCUGACAAGGGCUGAAUCUGACACCGCGAAUGCCUGGGGAGCUUCCAGCUGCCUCCGCCGUGGCCUCAGUCUUAGGCCAUCACUCCUGCUUCCUGAUCACCGCACAGACCUGUAAGACUGGGCACUCGAAAAACGUAAAAGUUCUCCUGUCCGAGUACCCAGCGAGAGAGUCUGUAGUCACCCACCGACCCAAGACUGUCCCCUGUGAGCUUGAACACCAGCGACGGAGACUCCUCCCGAGGCCACCUCGGCAUCCUGAGCAGCUCCGCCUGUCCGACCUCCUCUAGCUUUGGUCCGCGUCACAGCCUCACAGGACAAUCUCUCAAGUGGGAACCUGGCAAGCUUGAAAUAUGGAAUGCUUCGUUUGUUCGUCCAUUCCAGAAAUAUCAACUGGGUGCUGCAUGUGUCUAGCAUGGGACAUAGAGGUGUCCCAGAAGACGGGGUCCAUCUGGGGAGACAAAAACGCUUAUAAGGUCAAUGCAUGACAGCAACAUAGGAACCGCCAAGCGAGAGCUGACCCAGGGUAUGCUCAGGGCCAAGAGCUCCGGACAGGUGGGGGAGGGGGGCUGCCUGGGAACACAGCGGCAGGGCGUCUAAGAAGGUUUCUCUUAGGAAGUGGGAUCUGAGUGGGGUGUGAUAGACAGGAAGCACGGGCCAGUGGGUGAACCAGCCGGGCAAUCAGACUCCGAGAGAGAACUUCCCAAGAUGGCCAGGGAGGGGCUU